rnacentral:rRNA from 1 species
GUGCCAGCAGCCGCGGUAAUACGGAGGGUGCAAGCGUUAUCCGGAUUCAUUGGGUUUAAAGGGUGCGCAGGCGGAUUAUUAAGUUAGUGGUGAAAUCCCGGGGCUCAACCUCGGAACUGCCAUUAAUACUGGUAAUCUGGAAUACGGUUGAAGUGGGCGGAAUGUAGCAUGUAGCGGUGAAAUGCAUAGAGAUGCUACAGAACACCGAUCGCGAAGGCAGCUCACUAAGCCGAUAUUGACGCUCAGGCACGAAGGCGUGGGGAGCGAACAGGAUUAGAUACCCUGGUAGUCCACGCCGUAAACGAUGAUAACUCGUUGUUGGCGACACACAGUCAGCGACUAAGCGAAAGCGAUAAGUUAUCCACCUGGGGAGUACGAUCGCAAGGUUGAAACUUAAAGGAAUUGACGG